rnacentral:rRNA from 1 species
GACGAACGCUGGCGGCGUGCCUAAUACAUGCAAGUUGAGCGAUGAAGCUUGGUGCUUGCUCCAAUUUGAAGAGCAGCGAACGGGUGAGUAACGCGUGGGGAAUCUGCCUUUGAGCGGGGGACAACAUUUGGAAACGAAUGCUAAUACCGCAUAACAACUUUAAACAUAUGUUUUAAGUUUGAAAGAUGCAAUUGCAUCACUCAAAGAUGAUCCCGCGUUGUAUUAGCUAGUUGGUGAGGUAAAGGCCCUCCAAGGCGAUGAUACAUAGCCGACCUGAGAGGGGGAUCGGCCACAUUGGGACUGGGACACGGCCCAGACUCCUACGGGAGGCAGCAGUAGGGAAACUUCGGCAAUGGACGAAAGGCUGACCGAGCAACGCCGGGUGAGUGAAGAAGGUUUUCGGAUCGUAAAACUCGGUUGGUAGGGAAGAAAGUUGGUGAGAGUGGAAAGCUCAUCAAGUGACGGUAACUACCCAGAAAGGGACGGCUAACUACGUG